UGCAGUCGAACGAGACGGAUAUUAGCUUGCUAUAUUGUGCAGCUAAGUGGCGCACGGGUGAGUAAUAUAUAGUUAAUCUGCCCCAAAGAAGAGAAUAAUUGUUGGAAACGACUUGUAACGCUCUAUAUGCCUUUAUUACAUAAGUAAGCAAGGGAAACAUUUAUGGCUUUGGGAUGAGACUGUACGGUAUCAGCUAGUUGGUGAGGUAAUGGCUCACCAAGGCAAUGACAUCUAACUGGUUUGAGAGGAUGAUCAGUCACACUGGAACUGAGACACGGUCCAGACUCCUACGGGAGGCAGCAGUGGGGAAUAUUGCACAAUGGAGGAAACUCUGAUGCAGCAACGCCGCGUGGAGGAUGACACAUUUCGGUGCGUAAACUCCUUUUAUAUGAGAAGAUAAUGACGGUAUCAUAUGAAUAAGCACCGGCUAACUCCGUGCCAGCAGCCGCGGUAAUACGGGGGGUGCAAGCGUUACUCGGAAUCACUGGGCGUAAAGAGCAUGUAGGCUGGUUUGUAAGUUGGAAGUGAAAUCCUAUGGCUUAACCAUAGAACUGCUUCCAGAACUGCAGACCUAGAAUAUGGGAGAGGUAGAUGGAAUUUCUGGUGUAGGGGUAAAAUCCGUAGAGAUCAGAAGGAAUACCGAUUGCGAAGGCGAUCUACUGGAACAUUAUUGACGCUGAGAUGCGAAAGCGUG
rnacentral:rRNA from 1 species